CAUCAGCUGCCUGAAACGAGCCAACUACUUGGCACCCUUCGAUUGGAAGAUUCUGUAUAAUUUGGGCCUUGUCCAUUUGACCAUGCAGCAGUAUGCAUCAGCUUUUCAUUUUCUCAGUGCGGCCAUCAACUUCCAGCCAAAGAUGGGGGAGCUCUACAUGCUCUUGGCAGUGGCUCUGACCAAUCUGGAAGAUAUAGAGAAUGCCAAGAGAGCCUACGCAGAAGCAGUCCACCUGGAUAAGUAUGCGCUUUGUUGAGAAUGGUACUGGCGGG
rnacentral:sRNA from 1 species